CCCUUAGAUGUCCGGGGCCGCACGCGCGCUACACUGAAGGAAUCAGCGUGGCUUUCUCCCUGACCCGCAAGGGUUGGGAAACCCGUUGAAUCUCCUUCGUGAUAGGGAUUGGGGCUUGAAAUUGUUCCCCAUGAACGAGGAAUUCCCAGUAAGCGCGAGUCAUAAGCUCGCGUUGAUUACGUCCCUGCCCUUUGUACACACCGCCCGUCGCUACUACCGAUUGAACGGUUUAGUGAGGGCCUCGGAUUGGUCUCGGCCCGCUCUUUACCGGGCGGCGCCGUUGGUCGAGAAGACGCUCGAACUUGAUCGUUUAGAGGAAGUAAAAGUCGUAACA
rnacentral:rRNA from 1 species